GCAAGAAAAUCAAAGCUUUCGCCUUCUGGGCGGAGCUACAUGAAGAAUCUGGAACUAUAGCGUCGCUCAGAUCACAUGAGGCGAGGUAUAUUUCAACAUCCAAAGUCCAAGUCAAAUAGUUACCACCAUCAAGAGCAAGCUCGGUGAAUUCUCUUUUGUUGAUAUCAGACAUAUUCAAACUAUAACAAAUAAUGAAAAGAAAA
rnacentral:lncRNA from 1 species